UAGGGAAUUUUUCACAAUGAGCGAAAGCUUGAUGGAGCAAUGCCGCGUGAACGAUGAAGGUCUUUAAGAUUGUAAAGUUCUUUUAUUUGGGAAGAAUGACUUUAGCAGGUAAUGGCUAGAGUUUGACUGUACCAUUUUGAAUAAGUGACGACUAACUAUGUGCCAGCAGUCGCGGUAAUACAUAGGUCGCAAGCGUUAUCCGGAUUUAUUGGGCGUAAAGCAAGCGCAGGCGGAUUGAAAAGUCUGGUGUUAAAGGCAGCUGCUUAACAGUUGUAUGCAUUGGAAACUAUUAAUCUAGAGUGUGGUAGGGAGUUUUGGAAUUUCAUGUGGAGCGGUGAAAUGCGUAGAUAUAUGAAGGAACACCAGUGGCGAAGGCGAAAACUUAGGCCAUUACUGACGCUUAGGCUUGAAAGUGUGGGGAGCAAAUAGGAUUAGAUACCCUAGUAGUCCACACCGUAAACGAUAGAUACUAGCUGUCGGGGCGAUCCCCUCGGUAGUGAAGUUAACACACUAAGUAUCUCGCCUGGGUAGUACAUUCGCAAGAAUG
rnacentral:rRNA from 1 species